AGGAAAGAGCAGUGAGUCUGGAGACACUUUGUACUCUGAACUGAAGCACAACACAGACAGAGGUGCUGAUGCUGGUGAUUCAACUUAUGCUCAACCUAUUAGGAAGAAGAAUAAAACACGUCCCUGAGUGCAGUGAAGACAACAGACGGCUAAAAGAGAUUCACAGCAGCAGACACUGUAAAGCAUGCCUUGCUUAAGAAAUGAAACUGAGUGAACUGCUUAUGCACAUGCUUGACUGAAAUACUUAUGCACUGUAUUAUCUGUAUCUCUAACAGUAUUUUUUUUUCUCCAGUGAGCACUUAUGUUUAACACAGUUAUAGGUGAAACUGCUCUAUUAGUUACUAUUACAUUAUUAUAAAAUUGCUGUGCAGCAACAAUAGUGUUUGAUUAUUAGGUGUAAAUACAAUGCAUUUUU